rnacentral:misc_RNA from 1 species
UCAAUUGAUUAUCCACACUGCGGUGGACCGAUAGAAAACAAAAGGGAGAAAAAGAAGAGAAAGAAAGGAAGGAAUUUCCAUUCGUCGCGAUUGCCGGGCUCGUUGUCGUUAGAAAUUUAUUCAAUUUUUGUUUUCCGUUUUCCCCCUAUUCCUCCCGGGUGGGUGGAAAAUAAACUGUACAGAUAUUUAACGAGUGGUCCGUAUAAAGGGAAUAAUAUCGCGAGCCCACCACGAGGUCCCGUGGGAAUAAACCGAAAAAAGCUCUCACCUAUCGAUUGCAUUCCAUUUCUCGUGUAUCGGAGCACGUGAGGUGGUAUAAAUCGAGGAAAAUUUCAGCGUGUCGUCGACCGUUUCGUCCUCGUCGUCCUUGUCGUCGCACGUGGAAAAUGGGCUUGGAAAAUCUCCUUCGUAGAGAAGGGCGAGGAAAUCGGAAUUUCGAACUUCCGACAACCGCGGGGGCGAUGAGCCGUUAAAAUUAUUAACGUAAUCGUCGUUAUUUCGAGUCGUCGCUUCUUUCUCAACGUUUUCGUUAGGUGUUGACCACUCUCUACCCCAGGUCGUUGAAAAGGAGGAAACGUACGUCGCCGACGUUACACUCGUUUCCCCCGUACACAUAUAGAAGCGCGCUUAUAACCUCCGUCAUAUUUUGAAUCGAUAACACGCGCCGUUACCGAGUAACGCGAGGAGGAAGGCAGGCGGCCCCGUAUACUCGCGGCGCCCGUUAUACUGAUUGUGCACGAAACGAGUGUGGAAAAAAAGAAAAAAAAAGAAAUACCGGGAGAAGAAGACGAAGAAGGAGGAGGAGGGAAAAGAGAAGAAAAUAAAAGCAAAGAAAAAAAAUAAACCAACAAACAGAAAAAAAGACAAAAAGAAAAAGCGAAAUAAAGAAAUGAAAAAACCGGCUAACGGUGUGACUGAAAUCGUAGCGUUAAAAUAUUCAACUCCGCGUGUUAUAGGUGCCGGGCCAUCCGUUCCCCGUCGUCACACCUGAAACGUGAAAGAGAAGAAGAACGGGGGGCGGGGGAGGGGCGGGGAGGAGGGGAGGUGAGGGUGAGUGAGGAAUUAAAAGGAGAGAGAAAAAGGAGAAAUUGGACCGGGCUUUAUGUAGGCGAAAAGUGGGGAAAAAUGGAUGCUGA